UACGUAGGUGGCAAGCGUUGUCCGGAUUUACUGGGCGUAAAGGGCGUGCAGGCGGUUUGUUAAGUGCAGGGUGAAAGCUCCCGGCUCAACUGGGAGAGGUCCUUGCAUACUGGCGAACUUGAGGGGGGUAGAGGAAAGUGGAAUUCCCGGUGUAGUGGUGAUAUGCGUAGAUAUCGGGAGGAACACCUGUGGCGAAGGCGGCUUUCUGGGCCCUACCUGACGCUGAGACGCGAAAGCGUGGGGAGCGAACAGG
rnacentral:rRNA from 1 species